CGAAUUUCUUGGGCUCAGAACCAGUUGUGAUGCGGAGCUUAGAUCAACUGAAUUCCUGACUUCAUGGCUUAAUGGGGAUGUGAGAGGACAGCGGACAUUGCAGAAAAAGUGGACGUCAUUUCUAAAGACUCACCUGAACUGUCCUGUCCCUCAAACCAGACUACCACUUCUCAUACAGGAUGUGUUCCUCUUCUGUCCAGACACCUGGAAAACCUGUAUAUUCUAUGGUGUCUUCACUCCUCAGGGUCCAAAAGCCUCGUAGUCUGUUGGAUAGGAUCUCUAAAUUUCCAAGGGAUAGGCUCCAGGUUCCUCACAACCCUCUGUAGGUUACCCUUCAGCUCAUCCGAGACAACCCACUGAUGGAUCAGGCAGUGAAGCCUUCUGAGCAGCCCCUACUGGUGAAGAAAGGAGCUGUGUUUACUCGUAUAGUGGUGGCCAGCACUACUGCCCUGAAUGGGAGCAGCCAUCAGGUCAUGUUUAUUGGCACAGAUACAUAAAUGUAAAUUUAGUGUACAGGUUACAUAAUUUAUACAGACUUAUCCAUGUAUGUGUUAGUGUUCAAUCAACUGUACAAUCUUUGUAACAGCAAGUGGUAGCUGCUUUUCUUUUUGUUUUAUAGUAUGUAGUAUAUGGAGCUGAUGGGAUAGUUAUUGACUUUUGUCACAAGAAAAAAAAAUAAAGCAAAAUGUGACCGUGUCAAUACUUGCCAUUAGCAUUAGUGAUAUUAGUGAAAAUCAUGCAGAGACGGCUGUGUCUAAGAAUCAAGUGUUUUUUUUUUUUUUUUUUUUUUUUUUUUUUAAAUUGGAACUUUGUAUGACAUUAGACUAAUUAAUUGAUUUUAUAAAGGCGAAGAAAUAGUUAUCUGUUUUUAGUUUUGGAGAAUGAUCGAAAUGCAUUUUCACUUGAGUGAAUUGUUUUUAUUCUUUUAAUAAUUUUACAAAAUAUUUUAGAAAUAAAAUUUUCCUACUGCUAUUAACACAUUUUAUUUACAUGCAAAUCUAUCUUUUUUUGCCCUCAUCAUUCGCACGAGUAGAACUAAUAUAAAAUAAUACUUAAUGACUUUCCCAUCAUGGCUAUACCAGUACUCUUCUGGUUCAUUUAAUUAUUUCUACUUGUGAUUCAGUUUUAGUUUGAUUCUGUUAUAGUUUGACCAUCUUUUUAAUAAUUGCUGCACAUAUUGUUUCAGGGUCAGCUGUAUGCAGGCUCAGAGGAAGCAACGGUGCAGAUGCCACUGAGUACAUGUGACCAUUACGCUUCCUUUAUAGACUGUGUGCUGGCCAGAGACCCGUACUGCGGCUGGGACCUCAGCGCUGAACGCUGCAUUGCUAUAAAAAACAUUCAUCCAGAUACACACAGGUACUCAGCAUAUACUUCUCAGCUGCUGUAAUAUAGUGCUGUAAGGAAAAAAAUCAUGAUGUGGUGUGCUGUUGUAGGAAAACCGGCAAAAAGGAACAAUGGGUGUGAUGUGACCUGAAGUUUAACUUUUAGUAAUUAUUUACUUUUUAAUUAUUAACUUUAAAUAAUUAUUUUAUUUUAAUUACAUUACAAAACAUUAUAAAUCUAUUCAUCUCAGUAUUUUACAGUAUUUAUUUUACUCUUUAUUGACCUACAGUAGAUUAUCUGGAGCUAACAGUAACGUAUUAAAAUGAACACAUUAAUAUAAACCUUAUGUGCCUUCCAGCUAGAUCUACUGCAAGUCCUUGUUAUAAAAAAUUCACUUAAUCACCUUCUGACCAAUCAGAAUCAAGAUUCAAACAUCACUGUGGUCUAAAAUAUUGCUCUAGACUCUA